CGGAUAAAAGGUACUCCGGGGAUAACAGGCUGAUACCGCCCAAGAGUUCAUAUCGACGGCGGUGUUUGGCACCUCGAUGUCGGCUCAUCACAUCCUGGGGCUGAAGUAGGUCCCAAGGGUAUGGCUGUUCGCCAUUUAAAGUGGUACGCGAGCUGGGUUUAGAACGUCGUGAGACAGUUCGGUCCCUAUCUGCCGUGGGCGCUGGAGAACUGAGGGGGGCUGCUCCUAGUACGAGAGGACCGGAGUGGACGCAUCACUGGUGUUCGGGUUGUCAUGCCAAUGGCACUGCCCGGUAGCUAAAUGCGGAAGAGAUAAGUGCUGAAAGCAUCUAAGCACGAAACUUGCCCCGAGAUGAGUUCUCCCUGAGACUUUAGGUCUCCUGAAGGAACGUUGAAGACGACGACGUUGAUAGGCCGGGUGUGUAAGCGCAGCGAUGCGUUGAGCUAACCGGUACUAAUGAACCGUGAGGCUUAACCUU
rnacentral:rRNA from 1 species